rnacentral:sRNA from 1 species
UGACAGGUGAGGAGUAAGAAUAGAACUUAAAAGCCCUUGGAGUCGAAACACGGAAAGACGCCCAAGGGCUUUUAAUAU